UCUGAAAUAUUCUCCACUAAACUGACUAAAAUGUAAAAAGACACUAAUUUCUAAACAUUCUACACUAAAUACGGUACUGUACAUUCUCCCUUGUUCCUAUCACCUUAUCCUGCAGAGUGGACCGCAUUCCUACUUCAGCCUGCAAGAUUAUUUCUACUUCGCUUGAGCUUACUGAUCAUUGCAGGGUUGUUGUUGACUUGUGGCGUUAGUGGUCGUUGUGUGUAUUCGUAGCCUGUUGCCAGAUUCUGGCAUGAUCAACACGCAAAUGACGUCCCAGAAUCUUUCUGAAUCGACACCACAUGAGCGACGCGAUCCUUUCUCGGGACUGUAUAGCUGCACCAAGGAAACGCUAGUCAGUGGAGAUCUGAGCGAUGUGCAGUUCUCCGUCGGUGGAGAUUUUGGCGCUGCAAGGGUCUUUAAAGCUCACAAGUACAUUGUGAGUAUUCGCAGCCCGGUGUUCUAUAGGAUGUUCUACGGCAGCGUGCCCGAAAAGGGUCCGCAGGUUGACAUUCCCGACUGCAUUCCCGACGCUUUUGCCAAUAUGCUCAGCUGCAUGUACACUGAUGCCGUGGAUAAAGACAAUCUCACCAUGGACAACGUCUUCCCGACUAUUCGCUGUGCGGACAAGUACGAUUUACCUCAGCUAACCGCCAUUUGCUCGGAUUUCGUGGCUGCCCAGUUGAAUGCCCAAAACUGUAUAGCCAUCUUGGAGCAGGCUGUCCAGUGGCAGGCGGACCAUGUAGUGGAAGAGUGUUUGCAGCUGGUGGAAAUGGAGACCGACCUCAUUCUGCGGUCAGAGUCGUUCACGACCAUCACGCACGACAUUCUGAAGAUGAUUCUGCAGCGCCGCGUUCUAUCCGCGGAAGAGAAUGUCGUCUACAUGGCCGUUGACAGGGAUUUGUUAAUAGAGUUCGGAUGCCAAUUGAAAUACUUGCUUUCAGAUGGGCAGUGGAGGCAUGUAAACGGAACGGUCUGGAGCCGUCGGGGGGCAAUUGUCGGCAGGUACUGAGUGACGCAUUGUUCCUCGUCCGUUUUCCGCUGCUGAGUGGUCCACAACUGGCCACAGGUCCAGGCAAGUUAUACCGCAAUGGUUGAAAGCCAUUGUACAGAAGCAGAUUGAUUGUGGGAAUACUGGCAAGAAAGCGCGGAGCGAGAUUUAUCGUGCUGUGUACUGGAAACUGAAGGUGCGUGUUUCCCUCAAGCUGGAUACAAAUUUGAGAGAGAUUUAUU